CACCGACGCAGCACACCGCCCAAUCACAACUCAACAUUUGUCGACCAAUCAAUGCGAUUGAAACAGAAACAAAAAUAGAAAACAUUAAAGAGAACGAUUCAAACCUUCCUUCUUCCUUGCCACCUUUCUCUCUUCACCACUCACGUUUAUUCCUUACGUUAAAAACCUUUUGGUUUCUUCAUUUUUCUCUCUGUUCUAAAGAAGAAAAAAAAAGCUGAAGAGACGCCUCGCCGCGGGAAGGAGAUAAGAACGAAAUGGGGCGUCGUCUCUUUUCCUGUUUUGGCUGGGGAAAAAGCAAUGAUGCAGUGACGAAGGUAUCGUUAAACCAUGCGCAAGAAAAGAAUGUAACGGCGGAUGUGUCGGCGGAGGAGCAACGGCGGGGUGGUGCAGUGCUGGUGGAGCUGUUUUCUUCACAGGGUUGCAAAACGUCGCCGGAGGCGGAGGUGCUGGUGUCACGGCUAGGAAGAGGGGACUUCGAGCUGGAGGUUCCGGUGAUUGUGUUAGCAUACCACGUGGACUACUGGGACUACAUGGGCUGGAAAGACCCGUACGGAUCCAGCCAGUGGACUGUUCGACAAAAGGCUUACGUGGAGGCGUUGAAUCUUGAUACAAUGUUUACGCCACAGGUGGUGAUCCAGGGGAGAGCCCAGUGUCAGGGGAAUGAUCAGGAUGGAUUAUUGUCUGCGAUUACUGGUGCACCCAGGUUCCCUGCUCCUACCUUACAGGCAACUUUCCAAAGGCCUACACCAGAAUCUUUGCAAGUUUCUCUAACAGGAGCUUUGAGGAACAAGGUGGAUAAUCAAGGCGCAAAUGUGAUGGUGGCUCUAUAUGAAAGUGGGUUGGUGACUGACGUUCCAAAGGGAGAGAACAAAGGGCGUGUCCUGUCAAAUGACUAUGUUGUUCGGAAGCUAGAGAAACUAUGCACUGUGAAAGACAUCUCGGCCAAGAAGAAUGUUUCAGGAACUGUUAAUUUCCCUCUAUGGCAAGGCUUCAACAGUAGCAAAUGUGGUGUUACUGUCUUUGUUCAAAGCAACUCUCAUCAAAUUUUGUGUUCACAGAACUUUCAGUUGCCGGACAACAUAUGAAACUGGAUUUGAGUUUUUAUUGUAUUGUUUCUUCAGGCCAUUAUGUACAGGAUGUGUUCUGUUUAGGGGAUUUGGUUGACCUAAGAGAUGGAUAGGUUUGGAUAAACAGCUCUCUGAAUCUGUGAGGCCACUCAGUUGGGUCCCCAGCAACUCAAAUAGACCACCACCCUCAAGGACUCCUCUGCGGCCUGACGAUUCUGAUUUGCAGUCUGGUGAGCCUUCUUUGAUCCACUAAAAGAACCUGAAACAUGUUUUGCUUGCAACAUAGAAGAAACAAUUCCAGUCCAUUCCGGCUUAAGACUAUGCGAUUUUGACUUGACCAAUUGAUCUCUAAGUCCAAAAGCAGCUCCCAGUGUGACAAUUACACAAGCCUUGUUUGUAAACCUCAUCUUAGCUUCAAGCAGGAGAAGGUUUCAAGUGAAUUUUAGUGCUGUCAAAGAAGAUAAAUGAUGUAUGAAUAUAUAGACAAGUAAAGCAAGUCUUAAUACAAUUCCAAAUAAAAUCCACUAGCAAAAACCAGGAGACCCUUUAUGGGGAAAGACAGUGCCCAUAUUUGAGUGUUGACAGUUUCUCCUCAAGUUAAGAUUUCAAAUUCACUUGAUAGGGAAUAUAUGCAAUGCAGUGUACAUGGACAUCAAUAAUGUUCUAUCCCAUUUUGUCUUUAUUUCUUUCAUGACUUUUUCUAAAGCACUCUUUCAGUCAUGGGUCAUUGUCAUUGUGUCUGGUGAACACUCAGAAACUGUUCGUACUCAGAAUGUACCUUGAAAUGUUUAUCCAUUGCACUA